rnacentral:rRNA from 1 species
GUUAGUUGGUGAGGUAACGGCUCACCAAGACGAUGAUGUCUAGGGGUUCUGAGAGGAUGAUCCCCCACACUGGUACUGAGACACGGACCAGACUCCUACGGGAGGCAGCAGUAAGGAAUAUUGGGCAAUGGAGGCAACUCUGACCCAGCCAUGCCGCGUGAAGGAUGACGGCCCUAUGGGUUGUAAACUUCUUUUAUACGGGAAUAAACCCGGGUACGUGUACCCGGCUGAAUGUACCGUAAGAAUAAGGAUCGGCUAACUCCGUGCCAGCAGCCGCGGUAAUACGGAGGAUCCAAGCGUUAUCCGGAUUCAUUGGGUUUAAAGGGUGCGUAGGCGGAUUUGUAAGUCAGCGGUGAAAUCCUACAGCUUAACUGUAGAACUGCCGUUGAUACUGCAAGUCUUGAGUACAUUUGAUGUGGGCGGAAUGUGUCAUGUAGCGGUGAAAUGCUUAGAUAUGACACGGAACACCCGAUUGCNNAGGCAGNUCACAAAACUGUAACUGACGCUGAGGCACGACAGCGUGGGGAUCAAACAGGAUUAGAUACCCUGGUAGUCCACGCCGUAAACUAUGAUCACUCGAUGUUGGCGAUAUACAGCCAGCGUCUAAGCUAAAGCAUUAAGUGAUCCACCUGGGGAGUACGGUCGCAAGAUUGAAACUCAAAGGAAUUGACGGGGGCCCGCACAAGCGGAGGAGCAUGUGGUUUAAUUCGAUGAUACGCGAGGAACCUUACCAGGGCUUGAAAGUUAGUGACCGCCGCCGAAAGGUGGCUUUCAGCAAUGACACGAAACUAGGUGCUGCAUGGCUGUCGUCAGCUCGUGCCGUGAGGUGUUGGGUUAAGUCCCGCAACGAGCGCAACCCCUAUCUUUAGUUGCCAGCGAGUAAUGUCGGGGACUCUAAAGAAACUGCCCGCGUAAGCGUGGAGGAAGGAGGGGAUGACGUCAAGUCAGCACGGCCCUUACGUCCUGGGCUACACACGUGCUACAAUGGGCGAGACAAUGGGUUGCUACACAGCAAUGUGAUGCUAAUCUCAAAACUCGUUCUCAGUUCGGAUUGAGGUCUGCAACUCGACCUCAUGAAGCUGGAUUCGCUAGUAAUCGGAUAUCAGCAAUGAUCCGGUGAAUACGUUCCCGGGCCUU